rnacentral:rRNA from 1 species
AUUGAACGCUGGCGGCAGGCCUAACACAUGCAAGUCGAGCGGAGCGGCGGACGGGUGAGUAAUGCCUAGGAAUCUGCCUGGUAGUGGGGGAUAACGUCCGGAAACGGGCGCUAAUACCGCAUACUAUCAGAUGAUCCUCGGUCGGAUUAGCUCGUUGGUGGGGUAAAGGCCCACCAAGGCGACGAUCCCUAGCUGGUCUGAGAGGAUGACCAGCCACACUGGAACUGAGACACGGUCCAGAAGCCUACGGGAGGCAGCAGUGGGGAAUAUUGCACAAUGGGCGCAAGCCUGAUGCAGCCAGGCCGCGUGUAUGAAGAAGGCCUUCGGGUUGUAAAGUACUUUCAGCGGGGAGGCGUUACCCGCAGAAGAAGCACCGGCUAACUCCGUGCCAGCCGCCGCGGUAAUUC